AGUAGAGGUGGGGUUUCACCAUGUUGGUCAGGCUGGUCUCAAACUCCUGACCUCAGGUGAUCCACCCAC
rnacentral:miRNA from 1 species